rnacentral:misc_RNA from 1 species
AACGAGGCCGACCUGCGGCUGAGUUACCUGCGGAGGGAUCAUUACAAGUGACCCCGGUCUAACCACCGGGAUGUUCAUAACCCUUUGUUGUCCGACUCUGUUGCCUCCGGGGCGACCCUGCCUUCGGGCGGGGGCUCCGGGUGGACACUUCAAACUCUUGCGUAACUUUGCAGUCUGAGUAAACUUAAUUAAUAAAUUAAAACUUUUAGCAAUGGAUCU